UCUCAAAAGAUAUGGAUGGUCUGAUCUCUAAAAUAACCCUAAUGGUUGAGCUCCGUGUCCCUUUACUUUUCCCUCGAGGGACCGUUGGUCUCUCAUCUUUCUCGUCGUUUCCGCUUGUCCUCGAAUCCAUGGCGAUCAAAAACCCUAGCGCUAGAUAGUUUAACCCAGAUCCAAUGCCAUCUCCUUCUAUUCCUUUCCUUCCCACUAACCCUGACCUUAUUGCCCAACCCAAAUCUUGAUUGUCCACCAAAUCUCUGGGCUCUGGCCACUCCGCAAUAGAGGAGGCGCUGCUCUUGGAUGCUCUGGCCCUAUUUUUUGAUCUUCCAUUCCUUUCAUAUGAAGCUUUAGCUACUGUUUAUAUGCACUAUAGGGGAAAAAGUUGCUUCCUUUUCAGCAAUGACAACAAUGAUCCCAAAGCAAAGCCAUUAUGAUUCUUGUUACUGGGGCAAUCACCAAAUUUUCUUCCUGUUUGAAGCUCAUCUCUCUUGUGAUAGUUUCCUUUUAAAUCCUUUUGAGGUAUCUUACAGAAUUCUUCUGGAGUUUCACUUUAAUCCCCUCCAGCACCAUAUUGUACAGAAAUUUCUAUAUUCUUUAAGCUUUCUUUUUUUUGAAGUCUGCAUUUUGUUAUGCCAAUAAUUUCUUUAUUUUUUUCU